rnacentral:rRNA from 1 species
UUGAACGCUGGCGGCAUGCCUUACACAUGCAAGUCGAACGGUAGAGGGGCAACCCUUGAGAGUGGCGAACGGGUGAGUAAUAUAUCGGAACGUGCCCAGUCGUGGGGGAUAACGCAGCGAAAGCUGCGCUGAUACCGCAUACGAUCUAUGGAUGAAAGCGGGGGAUCGCAAGACCUCGCGCGAUUGGAGCGGCCGAUAUCAGAUUAGGUAGUUGGUGGGGUAAAAGCCCACCAAGCCGACGAUCUGUAGCUG